GAUGAACGCUAGCGACAGGCUUAACACAUGCAAGUCGAGGGGCAGCACAGGUAGCAAUACCGGGUGGCGACCGGCGCACGGGUGAGUAACGCGUAUGCAACUUACCUAUCAGAGGGGGAUAACCCGGCGAAAGUCGGACUAAUACCGCAUGAAGCAGGGGUCCGCAUGGGGAUAUUUGCUAAAGAUUCAUCGCUGAUAGAUAGGCAUGCGUUCCAUUAGGCAGUUGGCGGGGUAACGGCCCACCAAACCGACGAUGGAUAGGGGUUCUGAGAGGAAGGUCCCCCACAUUGGUACUGAGACACGGACCAAACUCCUACGGGAGGCAGCAGUGAGGAAUAUUGGUCAAUGGCCGAGAGGCUGAACCAGCCAAGUCGCGUGAGGGAUGAAGGUUCUAUGGAUCGUAAACCUCUUUUAUAAGGGAAUAAAGUGCGGGACGUGUCCCGUUUUGUAUGUACCUUAUGAAUAAGGAUCGGCUAACUCCGUGCCAGCAGCCGCGGUAAUACAGAGGAUCCGAGCGUUAUCCGGAUUUAUUGGGUUUAAAGGGUGCGUAGGCGGCCUUUUAAGUCAGCGGUGAAAGUCUGUGGCUCAACCAUAGAAUUGCCGUUGAAACUGGGGGGCUUGAGUAUGUUUGAGGCAGGCGGAAUGCGUGGUGUAGCGGUGAAAUGCAUAGAUAUCACGCAGAACCCCGAUUGCGAAGGCAGCCUGCCAAGCCAUUACUGACGCUGAUGCACGAAAGCGUGGGGAUCAAACAGGAUUAGAUACCCUGGUAGUCCACGCAGUAAACGAUGAUCACUAGCUGUUUGCGAUACACUGUAAGCGGCACAGCGAAAGCGUUAAGUGAUCCACCUGGGGAGUACGCCGGCAACGGUGAAACUCAAAGGAAUUGACGGGGGCCCGCACAAGCGGAGGAACAUGUGGUUUAAUUCGAUGAUACGCGAGGAACCUUACCCGGGUUUGAACGCAUUCGGACCGAGGUGGAAACACCUUUUCUAGCAAUAGCCGUUUGCGAGGUGCUGCAUGGUUGUCGUCAGCUCGUGCCGUGAGGUGUCGGCUUAAGUGCCAUAACGAGCGCAACCCUUGCCACUAGUUACUAACAGGUAAAGCUGAGGACUCUGGUGGGACUGCCAGCGUAAGCUGCGAGGAAGGCGGGGAUGACGUCAAAUCAGCACGGCCCUUACAUCCGGGGCGACACACGUGUUACAAUGGCGUGGACAAAGGGAAGCCACCUGGCGACAGGGAGCGAAUCCCCAAACCACGUCUCAGUUCGGAUCGGAGUCUGCAACCCGACUCCGUGAAGCUGGAUUCGCUAGUAAUCGCGCAUCAGCCAUGGCGCGGUGAAUACGUUCCCGGGCCUUGUACACACCGCCCGUCAAGCCAUGGGAGCCGGGGGUACCUGAAGUCCGUAACCGCGAGGAUCGGCCUAGGGUAAAACUGGUGACUGGGGCUAAGUCGUA
rnacentral:rRNA from 1 species